rnacentral:rRNA from 1 species
GAUGAACGCUGGCGGCGUGCCUAAUACAUGCAAGUCGAGCGAACAGACGCGGAGCUUGCUCCUCUCACGUUAGCGGCGGACGGGUGAGUAACACGUGGAUCACCUACCUAUAAGUCUGGGAUAACUACGGGAAACCGGAGCUAACACCGGAUAAUAUACUGCACCGCAGGGUUCAAUAGUGAAAGUCGGUGUUGCUGUCACUUAUAGAUGGAUCCGGGCCGCUUUAGCUAGUUGGUAAGGUAAAGGCCUACCAAGGCAACGAUGCGUAGACGACGGGGGAGGGUGGUAGGCCACACUAGAACGGAGCCGGGGUCCAGACUCCUACGGGAGGCCGCAGUAUGGAAUGGUCCGCAGUGGGCGGAAGCAUGACGGAGCAACGCCACGUGAGUUGUAAAAGUCCUGCGAUCGUGAUACUCGGUUAUUAGGGAAGAACAAAUGUGUAAGGAACUAUGCCCUUAGUGACGGUACCGAAUCAGAAAGCAACGGCUAACUACGUG